rnacentral:rRNA from 1 species
UCGAACGAAAGUUUUUAACUUUAGUGGCGAACGGGUGCGUAAUACGUGAGAAUCUGCCCUUAGGAGAAGAAUAACUGCUGGAAACGGCUGCUAAAUCUUCAUAUGUCGAGAGAUGAAAUAGUUUAGGCUGCCUAAGGAUGAGCUCGCGCCUGAUUAGCUAGUUGGUGAGGUAAUGGCUCACCAAGGCCACGAUCAGUAGCUGGUUUGAGAGAACGAUCAGCCACACUGGGACUGAGACACGGCCCAGACUCCUCCGGGAGGCAGCAGUGAGGAAUUUUCCGCAAUGGGCGAAAGCCUGACGGAGCAAUACCGCGUGAGGGAUGAAGGAUUUUGGUCUGUAAACCUCUUUUCUCAAGAAAGAAGUUCUGACGGUACUUGAGGAAUAAGCAUCGGCUAACUCCGUGCCAGCAGCCGCGGUAAUACGGGGGAUGCAAGCGUUAUCCGGAAUUAUUGGGCGUAAAGCGUCCGCAGGCGGCCCUUCAAGUCUGCUGUUAAAAAGUGGAGCUUAACUCCAUCAUGGCAGUGGAAACUGAGGGGCUUGAGUGUGGUAGGGGCAGAGGGAAUUCCCGGUGUAGCGGUGAAAUGCGUAGAUAUCGGGAAGAACACCAGUGGCGAAGGCGCUCUGCUGGGCCAUCACUGACGCUCAUGGACGAAAGCCAGGGGAGCGAAAAGGGAUUAGAUACCCCUGUAGUCCUGGCCGUAAACGAUGAACACUAGGUGUCGGGGGAAUCG